rnacentral:rRNA from 1 species
CAGUAGCCGCGGUGAUACGUAGGGGGCAAGCGUUGUCCGGAAUUAUUGGGCGUAAAGCGCGCGCAGGCGGUCAUUUAAGUCUGGUGUUUAAUCCCGGGGCUCAACCCCGGAUCGCACUGGAAACUGGGUGACUUGAGUGCAGAAGAGGAGAGUGGAAUUCCACGUGUAGCGGUGAAAUGCGUAGAUAUGUGGAGGAACACCAGUGGCGAAGGCGACUCUCUGGGCUGUAACUGACGCUGAGGCGCGAAAGCGUGGGGAGCAAACAGGAUUAGAUACCCCGGUAGUCCCUGUCUCUUAUACA